UGCCCCAGCUUAGAUACCUGCUAGCCACCACAACAACUCCACAAGAGAAUAUUUGUUUUUGGUUCAAACAUCAGGCCCGUUUAAGUGGAAUUACAGCCUUCAAAGAUGCUAAAAGGAAAGACUGAUAACAGGAGUGGUGCUGCAGAGUGAAGUGACAAACUUUUACAGAAGGCCCCCAUUUGUGCAGAGAUUUGGCUUCCCACAAUAUGCUAUGGAUUUUUGCCCACAGUACGCUAUGGAUGGUGAUUACCUUUUGUUUGAAGGAUCAGAAACAACUUAACUGCUAAAACAUGGAAUACAAAGCUAAACGGAAAGAAAGACAUUCUGAUCACCUUUUGAAAGGUGAACUACUUAAAAGCAAGAACCCAUAAGUAACAAAUCUCAAAAGACAGAUAGGGACAACUGUGUCCUACUCAUGUGAGC